AUAUACCCCUACAGUAUGUCUAAGAAUGUUUGUUGUUGGGCUUCAAUGCCUUUAAACUUAAUACAACUUUCAACAACGGAUCUCUUGGCUCUCGCAUCGAUGAAGAACGCAGCGAAAUGCGAUAAGUAAUGUGAAUUGCAGAAUUCAGUGAAUCAUCGAAUCUUUGAACGCACCUUGCGCUCCUUGGUAUUCCGAGGAGCAUGCCUGUUUGAGUGUCAUGAAAUUCUCAACCUUUUCAGCUUUCUUUGUUGAUCAGGCUUGGAUGUGGGAGUAUGCGGGCUUCUCAGAAGUCGGCUCUCCUGAAAUGCAUUAGCGGGACCUUUGUUGCCUGGCUUUGGUGUGAUAAUUAUCUACUCCAGAGGAGCAAGCAGC
rnacentral:rRNA from 1 species